AUGUUGCAUCAGCCAUAUCUGGGGGGAGGGGGGAAGGAGUUGGUGUGGUGACGGCAAUGGCGACAAUGGAUGGCAACAUGCAGCUGAUUGGCAGUAUUCUGGAAGGCUGAUCCAACCACCAAUCAGAAAGGUGAACUUCAAACGAUUCUGGGGAACCAGUUCCUAUAAAUUGAGGCAAACUGCCAGUUGAGGCAUUAGCAGAGGAGCCCUGCCACACCGGACUUCGACUUCUUGCUGGACCUGCUCUGAUCUUCCGCCCAGAUGUCACCCGAGCCACCCCGCCGUUGCCUGAAGAGCCUGCCUCACCCGCUCCCGGGUGAAGCCAAAGCUGCUGCUGCCGCCUGGAUACUGCCCAAGGAGCCUACCUCAUCUGCUUCUGGGUGAAGCCAAAGCCACUGCCUGGAGAGCCUGCUUCACCUGCUCCCAGGCAAAGCCAAAACCACUACUACCUCCUAGCCGCUGCCUGCCACUGCCCGGGGAACCUGCCUCACCUGCUCCUGGGCAGCCAGGAAGCCACUGCUGCUGUCCUGCCGCUGUCCGGGGAGCCUGCUUCACCUGCUCCCAGGAGAAGCCAAAGCUGCUGCUGCCUGCUGCCUGGAGAGCUUGCCACCAGCUCCUGAGCCACCUGACAGAAAAAUGUCAAAGCCAAAAAGGCAGGCAUAUAAAAUCUCUUUCAAGCUGGAAGUCAUGAAAUAUGCUGAGGAACAUGGAAACAGAGCAGGGGAGAAACAUUUUGGAUCACCUCCAACUGAAAAAAUGAUAAGAGAGUGGAGGAAACAGGUGGAUAAGCUAUAAAAGAUAAAAGCAAGCACAACUUUCGUGGGCUUCCUGCAAGGUGGCCACAGCUAGAGGAGGACAUAAGAGACUGGAUCGCAGGUUACCGGAACAGUGGCUUCGCAGUCACCACAAAAAUGGUGAUGUAUGAAGCCAAACACAUUGCUACCCAGAAAGGCAUUCAGGAUUUUACUGGAUCGCCAUCGUGGUGCUUCAGAUUUAUGAGGCGAUAUGGCCUUGCUAUGCGCACCAAAACUAAAAUUGUGCAAAGAAUGCCAAAAGAGUAUGAAGUUAAGAUUCUGUCUUUUCAUACUUUUGUAAUAGACUCCAGGAAGAGAAAUAAUUUUGAGAUUGCCAGAUUGGGAAUAUGGAUGAACUCCCGCUAACUUUUGAUGUGCCAUCAAAUAGGACUGUUGAUGUGAAAGGUGCCAAAAGCAUAACUGUGAAAACCACAGGACAUGAGGAAACACAUUACACAGUUGUGUUGUCCUGCUGUGCAGACGGCACCAAAUUGUCACCAAUGUUAAUAUUUCAAAAUGAGAACCUUCCCAAAAGAAGUGAUUCCAAGAGGUGUUGUUGUGCAUGUCCAUGAGAAAGGAUGGAUGGACGAAGAUGGAAUGAAAGUAUGGAUUGAAAAAGUGUGGUCCAAAUGUUCUGGAGGGCUUCUGAAAAAAUAGCUUUAUUGGAGCACAUAUUAGUGACAACACUAAGAAAAGAUUCAAAGAAGUGAAGACUCAUCUAGCUGUAAUUCCUGGGGGUCUUACCACCAGUUGCAACCUCUUGAUGUUUCCAUCAACAAGCCAUUCAAAGUCUACAUGCGAGAAGAGUGGAACAAAUGGAUGGCUGCUGGUAAUCAUGAUUUGACACCCACUAGACUAAUGUGGAGCCCACUAUCACUCAGGUUUGUGAAUGGGAUCAUCAUGGAAUUCAGUGAAGGACGAAACUGUUACACAAUCCUUCAAAAAAUGUAGCAUUAGCAAUGCCUUAGAUGGAACUGAAGAAGAUGCAAUUUAUGAAGAUAGUGAAGAAAGUGAUUGUGAGCAACUGAGCUUCCUAAACUCUGACACCAGCGACGAUAAUGAGUUCUUGGGUUUUCCAGAAAAUUAGAGGAGUGCUUGAACCUUGAAGUCUCUCCUCAUUUGUUAAUGACAGUGAUGAUGGUUCUUAAUACCGCUGUUGACUUUACAUGGUUGUAAAAAGUAUGGUACAUGGUUGUAAAAAGUAUACAUAGUUAUAAAAAUUCUGCUAGACUGGUAUUUUAUUAAAUAAUAUAUAACUACA